GAUGAAGAACGCAGCGAAAUGCGAUAAGUAAUGUGAAUUGCAGAAUUCAGUGAAUCAUCGAAUCUUUGAACGCACAUUGCGCCCGCCAGCAUUCUGGCGGGCAUGCCUGUUCGAGCGUCAUUUCAACCCUCGAGCCCCCCCGGGGGCCUCGGUGUUGGGGGACGGCACACCAGCCGCCCCCGAAAUGCAGUGGCGACCCCGCCGCAGCCUCCCCUGCGUAGUAGCACACACCUCGCACCGGAGCGCGGAGGCGGUCACGCCGUAAAACGCCCAACUUUCUUAGAGUUGACCUCGUAUCAGGUACGAAUACCCGCUGAACUUAAGCAUAUCAAUAAGCGGAGGA
rnacentral:misc_RNA from 1 species